GAUGAACGCUGGCGGCGUGCCUAAUACAUGCAAGUCGAGCGAACGGACGAGAAGCUUGCUUCUCUGAUGUUAGCGGCGGACGGGUGAGUAACACGUGGAUAACCUACCUAUAAGACUGGGAUAACUUCGGGAAACCGUAGCUAAUACCGGAUAAUAUUUUGAACCGCAUGGUUCAAAAGUGAAAGACGGUCUUGCUGUCACUUAUAGAUGGAUCCGCGCUGCAUUAGCUAGUUGGUAAGGUAACGGCUUACCAAGGCAACGAUGCAUAGCCGACCUGAGAGGGUGAUCGGCCACACUGGAACUGAGACACGGUCCAGACUCCUACGGGAGGCAGCAGUAGGGAAUCUUCCGCAAUGGGCGAAAGCCUGACGGAGCAACGCCGCGUGAGUGAUGAAGGUCUCGGAUCGUAAAACUCUGUUAUUAGGGAAGAACAUAUGUGUAAGUAACUGUGCACAUCUUGACGGUACCUAAUCAGAAAGCCACGGCUAACUACGUG
rnacentral:rRNA from 1 species